rnacentral:rRNA from 1 species
UUGACCUCGGAUCAGGUAGGACUACCCGCUGAACUUA